AUUGGGCGUAAGAGCUCGUAGGCGGUUUGUCGCGUCUGCCGUGAAAGUCCGGGGCUCAACUCCGGAUCUGCGGUGGGUACGGGCAGACUAGAGUGAUGUAGGGGAGACUGGAAUUCCUGGUGUAGCGGUGAAAUGCGCAGAUAUCAGGAGGAACACCGAUGGCGAAGGCAGGUCUCUGGGCAUUAACUGACGCUGAGGAGCGAAAGCAUGGGGAGCGAACAGGAUUAGAUACCCUGGUAGUCCAUGCCGUAAACGUUGGGCACUAGGUGUGGGGGACAUUCCACGUUUUCCGCGCCGUAGCUAACGCAUUAAGUGCCCCGCCUGGGGAGUACGGCCGCAAGGCUAAAACUCAAAGGAAUUGACGGGGGCCCGCACAAGCGGCGGAGCAUGCGGAUUAAUUCGAUGCAACGCGAAGAACCUUACCAAGGCUUGACAUGAACCGGAAACACCUGGAAACAGGUGCCCCGCUUGCGGUCGGUUUACAGGUGGUGCAUGGUUGUCGUCAGCUCGUGUCGUGAGAUGUUGGGUUAAGUCCCGCAACGAGCGCAACCCUCGUUCUAUGUUGCCAGCGCGUUAUGGCGGGGACUCAUAGGAGACUGCCGGGGUCAACUCGGAGGAAGGUGGGGACGACGUCAAAUCAUCAUGCCCCUUAUGUCUUGGGCUUCACGCAUGCUACAAUGGCCGGUACAAAGGGUUGCGAUACUGUGAGGUGGAGCUAAUCCCAAAAAGCCGGUCUCAGUUCGGAUUGGGGUCUGCAACUCGACCCCAUGAAGUCGGAGUCGCUAGUAAUCGCAGAUCAGCAACGCUGCGGUGAAUACGUUCCCGGGCCUUGUACACACCGCCCGUCAAGUCACGAAAGUUGGUAACACCCGAAGCCGGUGGCCUAACCCCUUGUGGGAGGGAGCUGUCGAAGUGGGACUGGCGA
rnacentral:rRNA from 1 species